rnacentral:rRNA from 1 species
UACGUAGGGGGCUAGCGUUGUCCGGAAUCAUUGGGCGUAAAGAGCGUGUAGGCGGCCCGGUAAGUCCGCUGUAAAAGUCAAAGGCUCAACCUUUGAAUGUCAGUGGAUACUGCCGGGCUAGAGUCCGGAAGAGGCGAGUGGAACUCCUGGUGUAGCGGUGGAAUGCGCAGAUAUCAGGAAGAACACCAACGGCGAAGGCAGCUCGCUGGGACGGUACUGACGCUGAGAUGCGAAAGCGUGGGGAGCAAACAGG